UGGUAGAAGUUACGUUAGCCUCAAAAAGGAC
rnacentral:piRNA from 1 species